GCACUGGGGGAAAGGGAGAGUAUCAUGGUUACAGCUGGAUCACCUAAGGCAGAGAGGGAAGGAACCAACAGGUAUAUGAAGAAGACUGUAUUUCCUCCUCAGGAAGAAAAAAUCACCUAUAAGAUCCAUGGCUAUAACUGCUACCAAGCUCUGGGCUGCAGUAGUGUAUCAUCCAUAACGCAAAUAAGGUGCCUAAACCCUAUAUUGAAGGCUACAGAGAGGACUACAUUGAGACUUGGCAAAGUCCUAUAGAAGUUUUGUUUUCUUAUGGUAAACUGCAUUCAUUUUGUGAAUUAUGAAGAAUGCAGUGUUUCAAAAUGUGUGUACAUCAAAGAUCCUGCAUGACCUUGCCGGUGUUUAUUUCUCCAUUUUAAGACUCUUUUUCUUUCAACCAUUCCAAACUUCAGAUCUUACAUCACAAUAUUCUAUCAAGAAAUUGCAUGGGGACCGGAGUCA
rnacentral:lncRNA from 1 species